rnacentral:rRNA from 1 species
CAGUCGCCGCGGUAAAACGUAGGUGGCAAGCGUUGUCCGGAAUUAUUGGGCGUAAAGGGCUCGCAGGCGGUUUCUUAAGUCUGAUGUGAAAGCCCCCGGCUCAACCGGGGAGGGUCAUUGGAAACUGGGAAACUUGAGUGCAGAAGAGGAGAGUGGAAUUCCACGUGUAGCGGUGGAAUGCGUAGAGAUGUGGAGGAACACCAGUGGCGAAGGCGACUCUCUGGUCUGUAACUGACGCUGAGGAGCGAAAGCGUGGGGAGCGAACAGGAUUAGAUACCCCAGUAGUCCCUGUCUCUUAUAC